AAUAAAUGUGUAUAUUUCCGCAGAGCCGGACGAAGACUCCGGGCGCCACUGGGCUAUUAGUUUUUCAGCACUAAGCAAAGACAUAUCGUUGAAAUUUCCAGCGCCAAUUUUCAUCAGUUUUAUUCAGCGCCAAGGGGCUAAGCC